AGUGAACGCUGGCGGUAGGCCUAACACAUGCAAGUCGAACGGCAGCACAGUAAGAGCUUGCUCUUACGGGUGGCGAGUGGCGGACGGGCGAGGAAUACAUCGGAAUCUACUUUUUCGUGGGGGAUAACGUAGGGAAACUUACGCUAAUACCGCAUACGACCUACGGGUGAAAGCAGGGGAUCUUCGGACCUUGCGCGAUUGUAUGAGCCGAUGUCGGAUUAGCUAGUUGGCGGGGUAAAGGCCCACCAAGGCGACGAUCCGUAGCUGGUCUGAGAGGAUGAUCAGCCACACUGGAACUGAGACACGGUCCAGACUCCUACGGGAGGCAGCAGUGGGGAAUAUUGGACAAUGGGCGCAAGCCUGAUCCAGCCAUACCGCGUGGGUGAAGAAGGCCUUCGGGUUGUAAAGCCCUUUUGUUGGGAAAGAAAAGCAGCAGGUUAAUACCCCGCUGUUCUGACGGUACCCAAAGAAUAAGCACCGGCUAACUUCGUG
rnacentral:rRNA from 1 species